AUGUACAGAUUGCGACGGUGGCCAGACCUCCCGGAGGGUCUGCUGUACUCUAUCAUUGCUCGGCUGGGCCUGGUCUCGUUCUCUGAUCUUGUUGCCUUUUCUGCUACCUGUCGCUCUUGGCGUACCGCUUUCUCCACCUUGGUGCCACUCCUCCCACCUCUCCUUCUCCGGCCUGAUGUCCCUAUGUGCUUUCCGCGUCAUCCUCCCAUGAUCAACAAGCUGGUACUAACACGGCCAUGCCAUGCCACUAAUAUAGCAAACCAAGACACCUACCAGUGCUGUCAGAUUCCUUUCAUAGCAUUUUUUGGUGAAAACAAUACCCCACCAAGUCCUCUAAAAGGGCUUCGCUUCAGUGGUGCUUCCCAUGGUCAUCUCAUUUUCUCAAGAGAUAAAUCAUGCCUUGUUGUUGAUGUGUUCACAGGUGUUAGUGUCUCAUCCCCACAACUACCGGUCAUUAAGGACAUCAAGCCCUUCUAUGCUGCACUCAAAGCUCCUCUAGCAUCACCUAACUCACAUAUCAUUGUUGAUAUCGGAUCGCGCAAUUUGUUUCGUGUUGGUAGUCAAUAUUGGGUGGGACGUUCUCCUGACGAUGGACCAAUCAAGCAAAUAGUGGUCUUCAAAGGGCGUGUUUUUGGCAUCGAUUCGGAUCUCAAACUCUUCAAAGUGCAGUUGACACCUCAGAUUUGCAUAAAGGAAAUACCAGUUACGGAGUCAAGCAUGAUUAGGAAAUGGCACCAUUCCGAUAGAUGGCUGGUGAUUUGCGGCGAUAUGCUUCUCAUGGUGGCCUUGCGAGGACCUAUUAUAGUAACAGGAGUAACCUUCGAAGUCUUCCGCCUUGACUUAUCGACGGAACCUGCACUAUGGCUGAAGGUGGAGAAGCUAGAGAAUUGGGCGAUAUUCAUCAUCACCGACAAGAGAAGUCAAGCAUUGUCUUGCAUGAACCCAGAGAUAUGGGGAGGGAGGAGCAACUGUGUAUACUGCUAUAACCAUGACUCUAAACAUUGGGUUGCACUUGAGUUGGGAAAGCCACUACAGGGAAAUGGGCCCACCUCUAAAUUUAAUCCAAACAUCUUCAUAUUCAUGGGUCGUGAUAGCAGGGUGCAACCUAUGUGGGUUGUCCCUAGCAUGCUCUCGUUCUGUCGGUGA
rnacentral:rRNA from 1 species